AAGGUUAUCAUUUAUUUUCCCUCUUUAAUACCUUUUGUUUUGUGAUGUAAGCUAAACAAUGUAGAUGUGUGUAGUCCCCACCCAUAUUCAAAUAUUUAACCAAACAAAUAUGACCAAUUGACUAAAAGACGAUGAAUAAACGCAUAAAAUGAGGAAGCAACAGAGUUACAGUCAACAACCACAAUACAGAAAGUGAAAGUGACAUUCCGUUCUGGAGAUGGAUGCAAGCAUGACUUCUCAGUAUGUUUUUCACCUAAUACUUGCUGGACUGAUGGACUAAACCAGUAGGAUGAAGUGUGAUCUACAGCACACGACAGAUUCAGAGAAUGUGAGGACAUUAAUCCUGGAAGCUGAUGAAGUAAUCCUGCUGUACACUGAAUUCAGAGUAUCUUUCAGCAUUCAGUACUACUCAGUAUUGUGUGUAAGUGAUGUGUUGAAAUAAUGAUUUGUCACAAACAGUUGGACACACAAAAGCACUAGUUUGAAUAUGGACCAAAAUAAAUUGAACAAUUCAGGAAGUGAGAUUAUCAGUUUAAAUGUUUCGACUUACUUUACUGUCAUGAUCCAAAGCAAACCUAAAGACACAGUUCACCCCAGAAUCAAUGAUAUGAAAAAUGUUUUCAUCCCCAAUGCUCCAAACAAUGGCUUCAAUGUGAUCCUCUACAAACCGCCACGAUAUCUUUUAUUCAUAUAUUCACUUCAUCAGUAAUCUCCAGCACAUCUGGAUUCAUUUGAGUUGGAUAACUUUGGGGUGCAAUGUUGUGCAUAAAUGAGAAAUGGCAGACUCAAAGAAAUUAAAGUUAACAAUGUAAUAGGUGUUACUCUUUAUUUUUGUGAAAAUAAAAACUGAAUAUUAAAAAAAAGAAAUCAGUACUAUUAUUUUUAAUUCAAGUGUUUCAAUAUUGUGUGUUUUACUGUUUUUUUUCUAUCAAUGUAAACCACUUUACUCCGGAUAAGCGUAACUAUCUAAAAAGGAAGAGGAAGAGAGAUGUUACAGUUGCAAUUGCAUGUUUAGGGAAGUCAGGAAGUAGCAAAUUAGUCCGCGCAGCAGCCGUGAUGCUGUUUGUCCGUCUGGGCUCACUAACCGACAUGGAUGUUCC